UGAGGAAUAUUGGUCAAUGGGCGGAAGCCUGAACCAGCCAAGUCGCGUGAGGGAAGACGGUCCUAUGGAUUGUAAACCUCUUUGCAGGGGAGCAAGGAGCGGUACGCGUACCGCUUUGGAGAGUACCCUGAGAAAAAGCAUCGGCUAACUCCGUGCC
rnacentral:rRNA from 1 species